GGUCGAGUCGUAUAAAGGUUAGUACGAUCGCUUCACAAGAAGGAAGCGCGAUAAAUCCGGGUUCGAUUCCCGGCUCGACUA